rnacentral:rRNA from 1 species
UACGUAGGGUGCAAGCGUUUGUCCGGAAUUAUUGGGCGUAAAGAGCUUGUAGGCGGUUUGUCGCGUCUGCUGUGAAAUUUCGGGGCUCAACCCCGAACUUGCAGUGGGUACGGGCAGACUAGAGUGUGGUAGGGGAGACUGGAAUUCCUGGUGUAGCGGUGAAAUGGCGCAGAUAUCAGGAUGGAACACCGAUGGCGAAGGCAGGUCUCUAGGGCCACUACUGACGCUGAGAAGCGAAAGCAUGGGGAGCGAACAGG